ensembl:lncRNA
GCUGGGUCUAGUCAGGUUAUAGAUGGUGGUGUAGAUGAGGCUGGGUCUAGUCAUGUUAUAGAUGGUGGUGUAGAUGAGGCUGGGUCUCGUUACGUCAUGGAUGGUGGUGUAGAUGAGGCUGGGUCUAGUCAUGUAAUGGAUGGUGGUGUAGAUGAGGCUGGGUCUAGUCAGGAUAUAGAUGGUGGUGUAGAUGAGGCUGGGUCUAGUCAUGCUAUAGAUGGUGGUGUAGAUGAGGCUGGGUCUAGUCAUACUAUAGAUGGUGGUGUAGAUGAGGCUGGGUCUAGUCAUACUAUAGAUGGUGGUGUAGAUGAGGCUUGGUUGAGUCAUGUUAUAGAUGGUGGUUUAGAUGAGGCUGGGUCUAGUCAGGCUAUAGAUGGUGGUGUAGAUGAGGCUGGGUCUAGUCUUGUAAUGGAUGGUGGUGUAGAUGAGGCUGGGUCUAGUCAUGUCAUGGAUGGGGGUGUAGAUGAGGCUGGGUCUAGUCAUGCUAUAGAUGGUGGUGUAGAUGAGGCUGGUCUAGUCAUGUUAUAGAUGGUGGUGUAGAUGAGGCUGGGUCUAGUCAUGUUAUAGAUGGUGGUGUAGAUGAGGCUGGGUCUAGU